rnacentral:rRNA from 3 species
UGCGUUGAGCUAACCGAUACUAAUGAACCGUGAGGCUUAACCUUACAACGCCGAAG